rnacentral:lncRNA from 1 species
AUCAAAGUGCCACUUUGGAACAACGGAGUAUAUAAUCAUCAUGGGUUUGGAGCUACAGGUACAGGAGUUUGGUAUGGGCCAAGUGUAAGCCAAUCAUAUAAUGCUUAUAAAACUCCAGUGCCUGAGACCAACCUACCAGGAAGCAUACCCACCAUGCCAUACAUCUCCUUGGCACCACCAGGUAAAUGAAUUUUUUAAUAAUCCCCAUCUUGUCCUUUUUUUACCCUUAAGAAUGAAGCACCACUAGCACUGAUUCUAAGUUAUUGAUGGGAACAAAGGGUAUGUUACUUAGAGCCUGUAGCUGGCUGCUACAGCCUUACACGUUGAAACGGUCUCCAUCAAACCAGUCUGUGUGUAAUUGUGUUUAUGUGUUUACCUGUGACUCAUCAUGGACGUCUCCAAGUGGAUUAUAGAUCCUUAUACCUGAUAGGAAUCUUUCUUUAGCCUGCAUGAGAUACUAAUCUCAAGAGACCCAGCUACUCCAAUAAAUGGGAAAUAUUUUCUUAAAUUCUUUUAUUUUGCUUCUUGUCUUCUGA